AUACAAACUGAAUAAUUAUAAGUAACAAUAUGAUAUCUAGUAAAAAUAAAAACACAUAUGAUUUAUUGUGUUAGAGUGUAGUAGUAGUAGUGCUGUAUUGCAUAGUUGUUAGAUGUAACAAGCGCGAACAUGUAGAGAUGUAGUUUUGGAAGGACUACAGAGAGAAAAGCGUAAUACGGCCACCGAACUUCAGAAUAAGCUGAUUACGGUCACUAUAUACAUUUUGCGGUGAUUAUACGGUCACUUGCUCACAGUUCAGCAUUGGAUUUCACUCUGUUGACCGGCCAAAUAGUCUGUGUGGCGCCAUAUUGACUAGUUAAAUUGACCAUGUUCCUUGUGGGUCCCACCUGUCAGUUCGCAUAGGCAAAAGGUCAGAUAAACACAAAUUUAUGCAUGCGCGACAAGGCUCCAACCCAUGCUGUAACGCCCUCGAUGCGACUAUAUCUCCCACGUGUCGAAGCACAACUUAGAGGCAUAACCGCAUUGAAAGCAAUGUCGCAAGUGAGGUAAUCUUCACACAACCCAUAUAAUACAUAGGGGAAAGAGUAACAUAGUUGGCUUAAAAUCGCCACUUCACACAAUUACAUGAAUAAAGCAUUACAUCAUACAAAUACAAUCAAGGUCUGACUACGGAACCUAAAUAAAAGAAGAACCCCAAAAGUGACACGGCCCCCGAUGGACCCCAACUGGGCUCCACUACUGAUCAACUAAAACGAAACAACACAAAGGACAAGAUCUUCAUCGAGCUCCUCCUGAGCUUGGUUGCGUCACCUGCUCGGUAACAUCGGCACCUGCAAACUAGUUUUUGAAGUAUCUGUGAGCCACAGGGACUCAGCAAUCUCGCACCCUCGCGAUCAAGACUAUUUAAGCUUAUGGGUAAGGUAAAAGUAUGAGGUGGAGCUUCAGCAAGCGACUAUCAUAUAUGGUGGCUAACAUACGCAAAAGAGAGCGAGAAGAGAAGGCAAAGCACGGUCGAUAAAAGUAUGAUCAAGAAGUGAUCCUAGACAACCUACGUCAAGCAUUACUCCAACACCGUGUUCACUUCCCGGACUCCGCCGAAAAGAGAUCAUCACGGUUACACACGCGGUUGAUGCAUUUUAAUUAAGGUUAACUUCAGGUUUUCUACAACCGGAUAUUAACAAAUUCCCAUCUGCCCAUAACCGCGGGCACGGCUUUCGAAUCUCAAAUCCCUACAGGGGUGUCCCAACUUAGCCCAUCACAAGCUCUCACGGUCAACGAAGGAAUAGACCUCCUCCCGAGACAUUCCGAUCAGACUCGGUAUCCCGGUUCUACAAGGCAUUUCGACAGGGUAAAACUAAACCAGCAACACCGCCCGAAUGUGCCGACAAAUCCCGAUAGGAGCUGCACAUAUCUCUUUCUUAGGGCACACCGGAUCGUCCAAACUUCUGGUAGGCCAGCCCAGAGUUGCCCCUGGUGGCCACCGGCGGCUGACAAGUUGGACCAACACUUAGAGGAGCACUGGCCCGGGGGGUAAAAUAAUGAUGACCCUCACGAGCGUGACUCCCAAGGGAAAAGAAAAGGCUAGGUGGCAAAUGGUAAAACCAAUGUUGGGCAUUGUUGGAGGAGCUUUACUUAAGGUGAACUGUCAAGGGGUUCCCAUAAUAGCCCAACCGCGUAAGGAACGCAAAAUCCGGGAACAUAACACCGAUAUGACGGAAACUAGGGCGGCAAGAGUGGAACAAAACACCAGGCAUAAGGCCGAGCCUUCCACCCUUUACCAAGUAUAUAGAUGCAUUAAUUAAAUAAGAUAUAUUGUGAUAUCCCAACAAGUAAACUUGUUCCAACAAGGAACAACAUCUCCAUGUUCCAACAAGGAACAAAACUUCAAUCUUCACCUGCAACUAACAACGCUAUAAGAGGGGCUGAGCAAAAGGGUAACAUAGCUAAACAACGGUUUGCUAGGACAAGGUGGGUUAGAGGCUUGGUUCAACAAUAUGGGAGGCAUGAUAAGCAAGUGGUAGGUAUCGCAGCAUAGGCAUAGCAAAAGAGCGAGCAAACUAGCAUAUCAAAGAUAGUAGUGAUUUCGAGGGUAUGAUCAUCUUGCCUGAGAUCCCGCAAGAAAGAAGAACGAGUCCAUGAAGAAGACAAACGGACGUAGUCGAACGGGUCCUCACAAACGCGACGUUAACGGAACCAACCCGAAGAAGCAACACCGGAAGGAAGCACACAAGAUUGUAAACAACCCUACAUGAACAUGGCAUAAUGCACAAUCAAGUAUGAUGCAUGUCCGGUUUAAUGAAGCAUGGCAUGGCAAAAGUGCACAAGCAAUCCUACAAAUUAAGUGGAGAUCAAUAUGCAACGAGUUGUCUAUUGACGAAACACCACAACAAGUUAUUUAGUUCAAUCUCGUUUAUGUACCCAACAAUAUUAAAUGUUGUUAAACAUGGCAAGAGGUGGAGCAAAGUAAAACUACAUAUCUAGUCAAGUUUAAAUGAGGCCGGAAGCAACGAACAACAAAUCCAGAAACUCCUCAUGUGCAUAUAUUAGGUUAGGUCCCGUUCUUCCCUAAACCAUAUUUUAGAGUUUGUAAACAUGCAAAGCAAGUGCACCAUGAUAAACUAGGCAAAAUUCUACCCCAUUUACAUACAAAGUUUAUUUAAUUCGGAGCUACGGUUAAAUAGUUAUGAUUUAAAGUAUUUUAACAUGUUAAAAGAGCAAAAUAAAGCAACCAUCAUUUUAAACAUGUCAAACAUGAUUGAAAGUUGGAUAUUGUUAAACUAGAUGAAAAUCUAGUCGUGAUACAUAUAUGACAUGUUUUAUUUGGAUGCAUGUUUCAAAUGUUAUUAGCAGUUUAACAUAGGGGCAGUUCUGUAAAUAUGCAGUGCACUGGUUAAAUAGAAAAAACAUUCAGCGAAAAAAAACGUGUCUCGGGCCGAAUCUGUCUAGCCCAAAUAGCAAUAAAAAAAGGAGGCACUGGGGAGGCCUCACCCAUGGGCUUUGGCCCAGUUAAGUGGAAGAAGGAUGGCUGGGCGAGGAGGAGUGCGCUGGGCCAGCAAAGAAGCAGGCUGGGCCUGGCGCUUGCCUCGCUUGGUCAACGCGAGCCGACCUGCUCGUUGCUGCUACUCGAUGCAGCCGACGGCGACGCGGAUGGAAGAAGAGGCGCGUUACACGGGCUGGGACCAGUGGGCACGGCGGAUUCGGGCAGUACGAGGGUCGGGGCGCUGGUUCCCGGCGACGAGAAACUCUGGCGAUGGCACUGCUCGAAGAAGAAGGUGAUGCCAUGUGCAGCAGCGGUUCCCUGUGGAAGAAAAACAGGGAGGAGACAUUCAGAGAAGAAGAUAGCAGAGAAGGAGAAACAAUCCGGGCACGGCCUUGGCGCUGGUAUUGGUCGCCGGCGACGGGGUCCUUCCAGGUGCGGGCGGUGGACGGAGAAGCUCCAGCGGUGGCGCUCGCUGGCAUGGUGGUGAGGCAGCAGAUCGAACGAAGGAGGAGCUCUGCUCGGGCCAGAGGAAAGGGACGGCGCGAUGCAGUUAUUUGAAGCAGAGAACCAGCGGCACUGGCGGGACUUGGGAACGAGCUUGCUCUGGCGAGGGUACAGAGGUCCAUGGUGCUCGGGAGGAGUCGUGCUGCCUCCGGUGAGCUGCUGGUCGCGGUGGCGCGUGGAAGCUGGUGUUGCGGGCUUGAGGAGAAGCAGAGGAGGCCGCAACUCGAGGUGGACGGCGCUGGUUACCGGCGACGAGGCAGGGCUCGGUGAGCGGGACGAAGCAGAGCAGGAGGGUGGUUUGAAGAACUCGGGGAUGAGGAUGUGGCCUGGAUCUCAAGCUGGAUCGAGCGCCGGCUGGAUGCGGGAGGUGGUCGGAGGCUGCGGCGGUGGUUGGUUGGGUGGAGAAAACGAUGAGGAUUUUUGGAUCGGGAGGAGAUCCCGAGGAAGAAGGUAGGUAGGUCGGCUGGCGGCGGAGAGGGGAUGGAUGGAUUGGACUAGGGUUUGAUCCGAAUAUAUAUCCCGAGUGGAUUUGGGUAGGGUCGCCUGAAUCCCUCCGAUCAUAAUCGGACGGUCAGGAAAAAUAAUCUAGGGAGUCCAAUAAACAAAACGGAGAUGUUUUGUAGACGUUUGGUGAUGAUCUGGAUCCAAUGGUGGCGACACUCCGGGUCAGGAUCGGGACAACUUUCGGACGCGUGCGAGGGGAGGUCCGUGAGCUGACGAGAGAGGUUGGGUUGGUCCUGGCGGUGGGUGGUGAGCUGUGUAGACGGUCUCGAGCUGAGAGAAGAGAAGAGAGGGAGGCCCGGGACUAUUUCCGGAGACUGAAAAUGUCCGACGUUAAACCGGCUACUAUUGCCGCUAUAUUUAACGGUUGGGCUAUCAAACGAGCUCCGAAUGCGAUGAAACUUGGCAGGCGACCUACUAACAAAAAAACAACACCGCAUGCCAACUUUCACCCCACUCUGAGAACAUUUUCCGACCACUUAUAAAAUACUAUUUCGGACAUGCCUCGGGCGCGUGCAAGUGUGUCUGGGCUCAGAACGAACAACGGAAGGAACGAGGAGAACCCGGACGAAUGCAAGUUUUAAACAUGAUGAUGCAAUGCACAUGAUGGCAUGAUAAGAAAUGCAUGACACGCAAGCAAAGACAAGGAAACAACAGCGAAUAACUGGAGGACACCUGGCACAUCGGUCUCGGGGCGUUACAACACUCCACUACUACGAGAGGAUCUCGUCCCGAGAUCUAGAAUGGCACCGGAGGGAAAAACGGAAGAGAAAGAAAAGAGGUAAAACUAAGUUGCUUCUUUGACAAACGAGUGAAACCACGAACCUUGAGAGGUUGAACAAAUUGAAAGAAAGAAAGAACACAACAGAGUUGAACGAAUUUGAGAGCACUCCAAUAGAAAAGAGAAACAAGGAACAUUACUAGAACCUUGUAGAUUGAAAGACAUAAGAAAAGGGAUUGCAAUGGACAAGAAGUAUAAGCAAGCACUCUGGUUGAAAGGAGAUGUACAAGGAACGAUAAGGAUCAAUUACGACAACACUCCAGUUGGAAAUGGAAGGUAAGAAUAUGAAGUUGGCAAGAUGAAAGCACUUGGAUGAGACUCCGGUUAGAAGAGGAAUGAUAGACACAAGACUCCGGUUAAAACAAAAUAUGGAAGGAAUAAGAAUGAUGUAAUUUGGGCAGCACUCCGACUGUAAAUGGAAAGAAUUCAGCAUGAACAAGACAAAACAAGAUGAUGGGUCGAAGAGAGAAACAUCACAAUGCCUCCGGAACGAAAGAAUAGAAGUUGGACCGUCGGAACAAAAGAACGAAGAAUAAAACACCAUUUUCUACCUCAAGUGAGCUAGAAAGCAUCUUGAAGAGAAGGGUCGAACGUAGUUGUUGGGAAAAACCCAACAACGAAAAGAGUAAGCUUGUUGUGGGCUUAAGAAGAACAUCUCAAAACUACGAGGUGAAAUUCUGCCACUAAUGGAAACGACAAAUUGGAUUGAUAUCAACAAGGAAACGAGAAACUUAUACUGCCGGGAGGAUAAAAGAACUUGGGUCAAUAAUAAGCACCAUAAUAGCAACAAUCCUUAGCGAAGGCUUUAGGUGGAUUAUAACCCAAGAUAACUCCAUGGAAGCAAAUCAUGGGUUUAAAAUACCUCAUUCCUAACAACAUGUGAAUCAUGAAACAUGAACUCAAAUUAUCAAGAAUGACAUAAUACCACCUCUGAUGAUACAGUAGAGAGAAUUGCGCUCUGGAUUGCAAGAUGAAGAAAUACUUGAGCUCCUUAGCCAAGAAUCACAAUGAACACUUUGAGAAGGGAUAUAAAUCCUUGAUGAACCAACAUGUAGAACAUUCAUGAAGAACUCCGGUAAUAAAAGAAUGAUCCAAAAUAAUUGAAUGACGAAAAGAAUAAGAUUGAAGACUUGUAAUGAUUUAAAUAGAUAUCUCCGUGAAGAUAUAAUUGAAAAAGGUUGGAACUCCGGGGAAGAAAAGAUGAAACAAACGAAACUGAGGAUUUGAUAAGCCUUUGAAAUAAGGAAUUAAUUACUUGGAUGAACAAGAAUAAGAAUUACGUUAUGCGUAUCCUUCAACAAUCUAAUUGCUUACGAGCAACGGAUUUGACAUAUUACUUAUUCUCGUAGAAAAUAUUUAAGAGAGAUAUAACAUAAUCUUGAGAACGUCUCCAACGAACCACCAAUAGGAUUGGAACAACAAAUGAAUUGAUAUGAUGAACAAGGAAGAGAGAUCUUGAAAGAACCACCGUAAGAAUUGAAAAUGCUCGAAGUAGGGGUGCAUCACCGGUAAGAAUUAGCAAAUGAACGAAGGUGCUUGAGACAAACUAGAUACAUGAGAACGAAGAGGUCAAGAACUGAUUACAGGAUAUUCGAUUGAUGCGCCGGCAAGAUAGGAGAAUGAUAACUGACAGCUGAGAAUGAAUAAACCUGAAUUGAUGGACUCCGGAUAACAAACUGAGAAAACUCUUGAAUAUCUCCUGAUGGGUAAAAAAGAUUCUCACAAUCGAAAACAAUUAUGAGAGGAUGGCAACAAGCUAGCACCAUGAAUCUUGAAGAGAAUAGAGCAAGAUUAAAGAGAAACUCUUCUUCGGUCUUCAAAUGAUGAGAAUGACAACAAGAAACACCACCAAGAAUUAUUGAGGCACACCGGAAGAAUCAAAAGCGAAGAGGUUGAGCCAACUAUGAAAAGAAUUUGAAAGAUCUUGCAGAAAAGUAUUUGACUGAUGAUAACUCAUCCUUACAUCAAACUUGGAGAAGAAUUUAGGAUAGCUCCGGGAAAAUAGAAGAGUCAGGUAAGAUCCUGGGAAAAGACCUGUGGGUUAGGGCCCACUCAAAAUAAGCACCAUUGAAAUGAUUUAAAAGAGAGGUUGCACCGGUUGAAUUAAAUGACUUGAAUGAGAUAACAACCUCGAGAUAUCUUCUGCACUCCGAAACAAAAGAAUAGCGAGGAGUGGAUGAUUAAGAGGUGCACCGGUAUGAGAAGGUAUUUGAAACGAGGAAAAAGAAUAUGAUCAACAAAACUUGACUUGAAACCACCGGAGAUGAAAAGAAUGAAGAAUGACGAACUAGAAGCUCCAUUAGAAUCUUCAUGAGAAUCACUGGAUAAGAAUUUUGAUAGAAAAGGAUGGAGAGACUUCACAAAAAAUAAAAGGAUACUUGAUUAAAACAUCUUAGUCCUCGAAGAAACAAGGGAGGGGGGCGGGACAACAAAGACAACUUCGGAUGGAUGAACGAACACCGUUGAGAGAGCUUGAGUUGAUCUUGCGGAUGUUGAAAUGAUCGGAUCCACUUGAAGAGAAACACGCCGGUUGAAAGGAGUGAUAUGACACACUCGAUUAUCGAGAAGGAUUAGUAUCCACAUAGGAAUAUGAGAACACCGUUUAGAAAAGGUAUGGAAUCAUCACUUGACAUUGAAGCAACUCGAAUACCACAACUCAAAACAAAACAAAGGAUUGGCUUGCAGAAUAAGCCGGAACAAACAUAUGAUAGAGAUUUCGUCCGAAGUUUUCGUGGUGGGGCCUACACGGGCUCGAUCAUACAACACCAUCAUGUACAAGGCAGUGCACAUGACAUACGAAGCGUCUCCGAGUCGGCAUAGCCAAGGACUCUUUAAGACACAACGAGACCACUGUAAAACCAACCGUGAAUAGGCGGACCACUAGACGUUGAACCCCAAUUUCAUAUCAUACAUCCGUCGGAAGGAUAUCCUAAGAGCUACAUGAAUUUCCACUUAUAAACUCCCGAAAUUUUCCGGUUAUGCAAUCAGGUGUUGGGGAUACAGGGGAAGCAUAAUAUCUCACCCAAAACUAACAAAUCCUACAUCUAGCUGUAUCCAUCCUUCAACACAUAACCAAAAAACCUUCGGAAAUCAUCUACCUCAACCUUCGAAAAGCAUCCGUUAUACGAGUUAUGGCGAUACUCCCGAACUCCCGCCCCAGUACUGGGUGGCGUCGAGGUUAUCUCACCAACGAACUGCAUAAAAGAGAUUUUCGAUGUCGGCGUACUAGACUCAGGUAUUCCAGAACUGCAACGAUAAAAUUAUGAUGACAACACCUCAGAGCUCAACUCCCCGGGACACUUCCACAAAACCCCUGACAGGAGGCACCAAGACAAUGUUCUCGUCACAAAACCAUCGGAACGAUUCCAAGAUACCCGCGUGAUCCUAAAAUUUUUUUAGUGAAAUUUGAGAAGAGAAGAGUCAAAACUCUAUGUCAGGAUGCCUUACCAGAGCGAUGAGGAGACUGGGAAGUAAAAAAGAAUUCCUAAACUCUCCGAUAUAUAAUUCCUAAAUGACUCAAAACAUCUUUCUAGACACAACUCGGCCACUAAAAACGAUCAAGCAAUGGGGCUCCUAAGGUCGGGGAAGGCUCUGAUACCAACUUGUAAUGCCCUCGAUGCGGCUAUAUCUCCCACGUGUCGAAGCACGACUUAGAGGCAUAACCGCAUUGAAAGCAAUGUCGCAAGUGAGGUAAUCUUCACACAACCCAUGUAAUACAUAAGGGAAAGAGUAACAUAGUUGGCUUACAAUCGCCACUUCACACAAUUACAUGAAUAAAGCAUUACAUCAUACAAAUACAAUCAAGGUCCGACUACGGAACCUAAAUAAAAGAAGAACCCCAAAAGCGACACGGUCCCCGAUGGACCCCAACUGGGCUCCACUACUGAUCAACUAAAACGAAACAACACAAAGGACAAGAUCUUCAUCGAGCUCCUCCUGAGCUUGGUUGCGUCACCUGCUCGGUAACAUCGGCACCUGCAAAUAGGUUUUUGAAGUAUCUGUGAGCCACAGGGACUCAGCAAUCUCGCACCCUUGCGAUCAAGACUAUUUAAGCUUAUGGGUAAGGUAAAAGUAUGAGGUGGAGCUUCAGCAAGCGACUAUCAUAUAUGGUGGCUAACAUACGCAAAAGAGAGCGAGAAGAGAAGGCAAAGCACGGUCGAUAAAAGUAUGAUCAAGAAGUGAUCCUAGACAACCUACGUCAAGCAUUACUCCAACACCGUGUUCACUUCCCGGACUCCGCCGGAAAGAGAUCAUCACGGUUACACACGCGGUUGAUGCAUUUUAAUUAAGGUCAACUUCAGGUUUUCUACAACCGGAUAUUAACAAAUUCCCAUCUGCCCAUAUCCGCGGGCACGGCUUUCGAAAGUUCAAAUCCCUGCAGGGGUGUCCCAACUUAGCCCAUCACAAGCUCUCACGGUCAACGAAGGAAUAGACCUCCUCCCGAGACAUUCCGAUCAGACUCGGUAUCCCGGUUCUACAAGGCAUUUCGACAGGGUAAAACUAAACCAGCAACACCGCCCGAAUGUGCCGACAAAUCCCGAUAGGAGCUGCACAUAUCUCUUUCUCAGGGCACACCGGAUCGUCCAAUCUUCCGGUAGGCCAGCCCAGAGUUGUCCCUGGUGGCCACCGGCGGCUGACAAGUUGGACCAACACUCAGAGGAGCAUUGGCCCGGGGGGUAAAUAAUGAUGACCCUCACGAGCGCGACUCCCAAGGGAAAAGAAAAGGCUAGGUGGCAAAUGGUAAAACCAAUGUUGGGCAUUGCUGGAGGAGCUUUACUUAAGGUGAACUGUCAAGGGGUUCCCAUAAUAGCCCAACCGCGUAAGGAACGCAAAAUCUGGGAAAAUAACACCGAUAUGACGGAAACUAGGGCGGCAAGAGUGGAACAAAACACCAGGCAUAAGGCCGAGCCUUCCACCCUUUACCAAGUAUAUAGAUGCAUUAAUUAAAUAAGAUAUAUUGUGAUAUCCCAACAAGUAAACUUGUUCCAACAAGGAACAACAUCUCCAUGUUCCAACAAGGAACAAAACUUCAAUCUUCACCUGCAACUAACAACGCUAUAAGAGGGGCUGAGCAAAGUGGUAACAUAGCCAAACAAUGGUUUGCUAGGACAAGGUGGGUUAGAGGCUUGGUUCAACAAUAUGGGAGGCAUGAUAAGCAAGUGGUAGGUAUCACAGCAUAGGCAUAGCAAAAGAGCGAGCAAACUAGCAUGGCAAUGAUAGUAGUGAUUUCGAGGGUAUGAUCAUCUUGCCUGAGAUCCCGCAAGAAAGAAGAACGAGUCCAUGAAGAAGACAAAUGGACGUAGUCGAACGGGUCCUCACAAACGCGACGUUAAUGGAACCAACCCGAAGAAGCAACACCGGAAAGAAGCACACAAGAUUGUAAACAACCCGACAUGAACAUGGCAUGAUGCACAAUCAAGUAUGAUGCAUGUCCGGUUUAAUGAAGCAUGGCAUGGCAAAAGUGCACAAGCAAU
rnacentral:lncRNA from 1 species